rnacentral:rRNA from 1 species
GACGAGCGCUGGCGGUGUGCUUAACACAUCCAAGUGGUGCGACGAACCAGACUUCGGUCUGGGGCAAAGCCGCGAACGGGUGAGUAACACGUGGGUAAUCUGCCCCGAGGACUGGGACAACCCGAGGAAACUCGGGCUAAUACCGGAUGAUGUGCCUGGACAUAAGUCUGGUCACUAAAGGUAGCUUCGGCUUCCGCAUUGGGAGGGGCCCGCGGCCCAUUAGCUUGUUGGUGGGGUCAAGGCCUACCAAGGCAACGAUGGGUAGCUGGUCUGAGAGGACGAUCAGCGACAGUGGGACGGAGACACGGCCCAGACUCCUACGGGAGGCAGCAGUGGGGAAUCUUGCGCAAUGCGCGAAAGCGUGACGCAGCAACACCGCGUGAGGGAAGACGGCCUUAGGGUUGUAAACCUCUUUCAGAUGGGACGAAGGUACGACGGUGAAUAGCCGAUCGGAUUGACGGUACCGUCAGAAGAAGCUCCGGCUAACUACGUGCCAGCCGCCGCCGUAA